UGGGGAAUAUUGCACAAUGGGCGCAAGCCUGAUGCAGCAACGCCGCGUGAACGAUGAAGGUCUUCGGAUCGUAAAGUUCUGUUGCAGGGGAAGAUAAUGACGGUACCCUGUGAGGAAGCCCCGGCUAACUACGUGCCAGCAGCCGCGGUAAUACGUAGGGGGCUAGCGUUAUCCGGAUUUACUGGGCGUAAAGCGCGCGCAGGCGGACUAGCCAGUCAGUCUUAAAAGUUCGGGGCUUAACCCCGUGAUGGGAUUGAAACUACUAGUCUAGAGUAUCGGAGAGGAAAGUGGAAUUCCUAGUGUAGCGGUGAAAUGCGUAGAUAUUAGGAAGAACACCAGUGGCGAAGGCGACUUUCUGGACGAACACUGACGCUGAGGCGCGAAAGCCAGGGGAGCGAACGGG
rnacentral:rRNA from 1 species